rnacentral:rRNA from 1 species
AGAGUUUGAUCCUGGCUCAGGAUGAACGCUGGCGGCGUGCUUAACACAUGCAAGUCGAACGAACCUUCGGGUUAGUGGCGGACGGGUGAGUAACGCGUGGGAAUCUGCCCUCAGGAGGGGGAUAACGGUUGGAAACGGCCGCUAAUACCCCAUAUGCCGAGAGGUGAAAUGAAUUUCGCCUGAGGAUGAGCCCGCGUCUGAUUAGCUAGUUGGUGAGGUAAGAGCUCACCAAGGCAUCGAUCAGUAGCUGGUCUGAGAGGAUGAUCAGCCACACUGGGACUGAGACACGGCCCAGACUCCUACGGGAGGCAGCAGUGGGGAAUUUUCCGCAAUGGGCGAAAGCCUGACGGAGCAACGCCGCGUGAGGGAUGAAGGCCUCUGGGCUGUAAACCUCUUUUAUCAAGGAAGAAGAUCUGACGGUACUUGAUGAAUAAGCCACGGCUAAUUCCGUGCCAGCAGCCGCGGUAAUACGGGAGUGGCAAGCGUUAUCCGGAAUUAUUGGGCGUAAAGCGUCCGCAGGCGGCCCUACAAGUCUGCUGUUAAAAAGUGGAGCUUAACUCCAUCAUGGCAGUGGAAACUGUUGGGCUUGAGUGUGGUAGGGGCAGAGGGAAUUCCCGGUGUAGCGGUGAAAUGCGUAGAUAUCGGGAAGAACACCAGUGGCGAAGGCGCUCUGCUGGGCCAUCACUGACGCUCAUGGACGAAAGCCAGGGGAGCGAAAGGGAUUAGAUACCCCUGUAGUCCUGGCCGUAAACGAUGAACACUAGGUGUCGGGGGAAUCGACCCCUCCGGUGUCGUAGCCAACGCGUUAAGUGUUCCGCCUGGGGAGUACGCACGCAAGUGUGAAACUCAAAGGAAUUGACGGGGGCCCGCACAAGCGGUGGAGUAUGUGGUUUAAUUCGAUGCAACGCGAAGAACCUUACCAGGGUUUGACAUCCUGCGAAUCUCUUGGAAACUUGAGAGUGCCUUCGGGAGCGCAGUGACAGGUGGUGCAUGGCUGUCGUCAGCUCGUGUCGUGAGAUGUUGGGUUAAGUCCCGCAACGAGCGCAACCCACGUCUUUAGUUGCCAGCAUUUAGUUGGGCACUCUAGAGAGACCGCCGGUGAUAAACCGGAGGAAGGUGUGGAUGACGUCAAGUCAUCAUGCCCCUUACAUCCUGGGCUACACACGUACUACAAUGCUACGGACAAAGGGCAGCAAGUUCGCGAGGACAAGCAAAUCCCAUAAACCGUGGCUCAGUUCAGAUCGUAGGCUGCAACUCGCCUACGUGAAGGAGGAAUCGCUAGUAAUCGCAGGUCAGCAUACUGCGGUGAAUACGUUCCCGGGCCUUGUACACACCGCCCGUCACACCAUGGAAGUUGGCCACGCCCGAAGCCGUUACUCCAACCCUUGUGGAGGAGGACGUCGAAGGUGGGGCUGAUGACUGGGGUGAAGUCGUAACAAGGUAACC